GCCUGGCUAGCUCAGUUGGUAGAACAUGAGACUCUUAAUCUCAGGGUCGUGGGUUUGAGCCCCACGUUGGGCG